rnacentral:rRNA from 1 species
AGAGCGAACGCUGGCGGCAGGCCUAACACAUGCAAGUCGAGCGCCCGUAGCAAUACGGGAGCGGCAGACGGGAUAGUAACACGUGGGAACGCGCCCUUCGGUUCGGAAUAACUCAGGGAAACUUGAGCUAAUACCGGAUACGCCCUUACGGGGAAAGAUUUAUCGCUCUAGGAGGGGCCCGCGUCGGAUUAGCUAGUUGGUGAGGUAACGGCCCACCAAGGCUAUGAUCCGUAGCUGGUCUGAGAGGAUGAUCAGCCACACUGGGACUGAGACACGGCCCAGACUCCUACGGGAGGCAGCAGUGGGGAAUAUUGGACAAUGGGCGCAAGCCUGAUCCAGCAAUGCCGCGUGAGUGAUGAAGGCCUUAGGGUUGUAAAGCUCUUUCACACGCGACGAUGAUGACGGUAGCGUGAGAAGAGCCCGGCUAACUUCGUGCCAGCAGCCGC